rnacentral:sRNA from 2 species
CAGGGUAUCAAAUCGUAGGGAUGAGAACCGUAAAAGGUUCGAGCCGAGCGAAGCGAGACAGCAACGCGGCAGCGUUGACCCGAAGGGCGAGUCCACAGGACGAGUCAUCCCGCACGACCCACCA